rnacentral:rRNA from 1 species
UACGUAGGGGGCUAGCGUUGUCCGGAAUCAUUGGGCGUAAAGCGCGUGUAGGCGGCCCGGUAAGUCCGCUGUGAAAGUCGGGGGCUCAACCCUCGGAUGCCGGUGGAUACUGUCGGGCUAGAGUGCGGAAGAGGCGAGUGGAAUUCCUGGUGUAGCGGUGAAAUGCGCAGAUAUCAGGAGGAACACCGAUGGCGAAGGCAGCCCCCUGGGUCGACACUGACGCUCAUGCACGAAAGCGUGGGGAGCAAACAGG